GCAAUUAUACAGCGAAACUGCGAAUGGCUCAUUAUAUAAGUUAUCGUUUAUUUGAUAGUGCCUUACUACUUGGAUAACCGUGGUAAUUCUAGAGCUAAUACAUGCUGAAAAUCCCGACUCCGGAAGGGAUGUGUUUAUUAGAUUAAAAACCAAUGCCCCCUGGGCUCCUUGGUGAUUCAUGAUAACCGUUCGAAUCGCAUGGCCUUGCGCCGGCGAUGGUUCAUUCAAAUUUCUUCCCUAUCAACUUUCGAUGUUUGGGUAUUGGCCAAACAUGGUCGCAACGGGUAACGGAGGGUUAGGGCUCGACCCCGGAGAAGGAGCCUGAGAAACGGCUACUACAUCCAAGGAAGGCAGCAGGCGCGCAAAUUACCCAAUCCCGAUCCGGGGAGGUAGUGACAAUAAAUACUGAUACAGGGCUCUUUUGGGUCUUGUAAUUGGAAUGAGUACAAUUUAAAUCCCUUAACGAGGAACAAUUGGAGGGCAAGUCUGGUGCCAGCAGCCGCGGUAAUUCCAGCUCCAAUAGCGUAUAUUAAAGUUGUUGUGGUUAAAAAGCUCGUAGUUGAACCUUGGGCCUGGCUGGCCGGUCCGCCUCACCGCGUGCACUGGUCCGGCCGGGCCUUUCCCUCUGCGGAACCCCAUGCCCUUCGCUGGGUGUGGCGGGGAAGCAGGACUUUUACUUUGAAAAAAUUAGAGUGCUUCAGGCAGGCCUAUGCUCGAAUACAUUAGCAUGGAAUAAUGAAAUAGGACGCGCGGUUCUAUUUUGUUGGUUUCUGGGACCGCCGUAAUGGUUAAUAGGGACAGUCGGGGGCAUCAGUAUUCAAUCGUUAGAGGUGAAAUUCUUGGAUCGAUUGAAGACUAACUACUGCGAAAGCAUUUGCCAAGGAUGUUUUCAUUAAUCAGGAACGAAAGUUAGGGGAUCGAAGACGAUCAGAUACCGUCGUAGUCUUAACCAUAAACUAUGCCGACUAGGGAUCGGACGACGUUAAUCUUUGACGCGUUCGGCACCUUACGAGAAAUCAAAGUGCU
rnacentral:rRNA from 1 species